rnacentral:lncRNA from 1 species
UCCGGGCCGGAAGGCGUAUGUGCGUAAGGUAUAUUGGGGAACUCACUAAGCUUCGUGCUUACGUUGUUUAUGUUAUGUUGUUUCAGGUUCUUACAGUAACGCGGGAUGGCAACGGUUCGAUUGUACACACCGAAGAAAGAGUUGUGUUUUGGAGGAUCCUGGUCUUCUAUUAUAAUGAAAAUGAAACUAUGUUUUGUAAUUCGAAUGUGAAUAAGAUUUUAAACAAGUGUUUUUAAUAUUAAAUUGAUUAUUUAAAUGAAAAUUUUGUUUUUGGAAAUCAUGGUGUUACAAAUUGGUAUCAGAGCCUUGGUUUGAGGGAUUCGGACGCGCCUACGGGUAAAUCUGGACUCAAACUGAGGAAGUAAGAAAAAGUUUUCCAAAUAAAUGGUUUUCUAAAAGUGAAUAAGAGUUCAAAGAGAAAGCAAGAAAGAGCAGUGUGUACAAUCAGCCAGAGCCAAACGGUGAUUUCCCAAAAUACCCUUACUUUUGUAUUAUGAAAUAUCUAUUAUGCACUUUAUGAGACAUUAUUGCAUGCUAGAGACAGGCUAGGUAUUUCACAUCUUAGGACUAGAGUGGCCUGAUUUGUGAUGCCUUAGUCUAGGGUUUGCUGUUAUAUGUGCGUUAUGCUUUUGUGUGUAUGUGAUGAGUGAGAGUAUCUAGUUAGAACGCACAAGGGGUAAAGCUACGGGGUACAGAGGUACUUCCGAGGAUGAGCCGAGAAGGUGGAGCUACCACAGAUGGGGAGUCCUAUGUAUGCUUCAAUGCUCGAAUGCUGCUUGCUUUGUGCUUUGUGGAGUUAUCGAUGAUGGGAGUCAGCUACUAAGUGAGUAUGACGAUACUCAGGAGGUAGAGGGCUGGCAUCAUUAGGAACUCUUCAGCAGCUGAUAGCAAAGAAGUGGGAGGACAGCGGAAGGGACUAGGGAGUAAACCUAGCCAGAUGAGUGCGCUGGUAGAGUAGAGGAUUUCGCUGGAAAGCGAGCACGCGCGAUGAGAUGGGUGAAAGAGCAGGUUUAUCAGCUACUUAGGAACUCUGGGAUGGUCCGUGUGGAAAGUAUGGGUAGAUGUGGCAGGUAGUAUGGGCCCGUACUACUGAAAGCAGAGGACCCAUACUUGAUACAGGGGGCAUUCUGAAGGUCCUAAGGAACAGAUUGAGGGGUGAUGUUAUGGUUCGGAUACCAUACAUCGGAGCGGAUACAGAGUGAUGUUAUGGUCAGGGCACCAUACAUCGGAACAGAUUGAGAUAGAUGUUGUGGUUCGAGUGCUAUACAUUGGAGCAGAUUGAGGAGUGGUGCUAUGGUUCAGGUACCAUACACCGAAGCAUGUUGAGGAGGGAUGUCAUGGGAUGAGUACCAUGGUUCGUAGUGGAUGAUGCUUGUGGCUAUCUUGUUAUCCGGUUAUCGAUCGGACGAGCACGAGCGAGCGGGAUGCGAGGAUUCGCGAGAUCCGGCGUGAUGAGGUUGCUGCAUUGUUGCGGGCUGAGUCGCCAGAAUUGUUUGGGUCGAUCAGGACCACUAUGAUUGAAGUAGUUUGAUGAGCGAUAUGCGGCUUUCGCAGAGACGGCUGCCGCGGCGGUUACAGCGGCUGUAGCAACGGCAAAGAAAGGGGCUAGUCGGGGUUUUCAGUAUCGGGACUUCUAUUAUGCGAAGCCUCCCACAUUCGAUGGAGUUCAGGACUCGAUUGUUGCUAUGAGAUGGUUAUCAGACAUGGAGGGGUGUUUCUCCACGAGUUUAUGCCCUGCUGAUCAGAGGGUGGGGUGUGCUCUGAACCUGUUGAGGCUCGGGGCGAAGGAUUGGUGGAGAUUGACCACGAGGUCAUUUUCCGAUGCGCAGAGGGCUGCGGUUUCAUGGGAUCAAUUCAGAGGGAUGUUCAGUACUCGCUAUGUUCCGCGGGAUGAAAAGGAGAAAUUGGCUCGGAAGUUCUUUAAGCUGAGGCAGGAUUUGGAGUCGGUGACUGAGAGCACCGGGAUGUUUAUUGAGAGGGCGAUGUUUUGCCCUGAGUUCGCUUCGGAGCAGGCUCAGAUGUCCCGAUAUCCGAGUAUGCUCAAGGGGGGGUAUCAGACAGUUCGUGUCUGCGCAGAGGCGCGAGACCGUGUUGGUAUCGCAGGAGGCCGCCAUGUGGCGUGAGUUAGAGGUUGAGUUGCAGUUGCGUGAGAUGAGGCAGGCCCCGAUGCAGUCGCAGUCGGCGCCGAAACGGUCCAUGACCGUAGACGUUAGAAUGGGGGAUCGGAGCGGUCACACUUGUGGGAAGUGUGAGAGAGAUGGCACCGGAGCUUGUUGGCCCAGUGGUGCAUGCCGCAAGUGCGGAAAGGAGGGGCAUGGUGCACGGGAUUGUCGGCAGUCAGUGCCAAUUCGGGAUUUCAGGAUUUGUUAUCAGUGUCGGCAGGUUGGACAUUUGAGGGUCAACCGUCCACAGUUUCCUGCAGGACCGGUGCAGGCUCUAGCAUCGGCCACCUUGAGGAGUUCAGGAGGAGGACAGGAUGGAGCAGAGCCCAAGGGCUCAGGGUCGUGCUUAUCGGCUUGCGGCAGAGGGAGACGGAGCAGUGCCGGAGGCAGCUGCGGGUAUGAUGCUCUCUUGAUGUCUUGAGUAGCUUGCGUUGAUUGUGGCGUAUUGUUUGUGCUGGUGUCUGGUGUGGAUUUCGAUGCGGUAUUCGUUGUUUCGCGGGUUUGGCAUGGUUAUGGAUUGGUGCUUCAGGUUUUCGCUUGGCAUUCGUUGUUCCCUGAUGGUUUAGUAUGAUUAUAGUUUGGUGUUUUGGUACCGGUAGCCUUGUGCGGUUUUCGAUGCGAUAUUCAACCUUUGGCAGGUUGUGGGUUUGGUUAUGGGUUAUUGCUUGGGAAUUCCGUUGGUCAUCGUUCGUGAGGGUUGAUAGUGGAGAUGCGGCACUGGGUUGAAUGACGGGUAGCAUCUGCAGUUGUGGAGUGGAUAAUUGAAAGAUCGGAUUCUUUUGAGCGGAUUGAUCAGGGAGGAGAUGUGUUUUGCUGAGGGUUGCUUACGCUUGUGGGAAGCAGUCAGUGGGUAAAUGUUCUCUUUGUGCAGGAUGGUUCUGAAAGGUCGUUAAUGACGAUCGGUGGCAGUUAGUCAGUGCUUUAGUGGGGGAGAAUUGUAAAAUUCUCCGGGAGAUCGAUGAGUAUGUAAGGGUGCUUAGCUGUUGGGAUUCAGCAGUGUUUGUCAGCGCAAAGUAUAGGCCGACGAGAGCGAGUGUUGAGUAUGCGGGGCGAGAUACAGACCUAGGGCAUUUGAUUGUGGAGGCCUGAGAGGAGGUCGGGAUCAAGCUUGAGUAAGUAAUCGGAAUUUUGCGAUCAGAGUAUUGGUACGUUUGAGGUACGUGAUGGGUUGUACUGCAUUAAUCCCACGGGAUUAUGUUGUGCAUGUUUCUAGAGCUGGAACCGGAAGGUUCCCAGAGUUAGAACCUGAGGGUUCGCAGAGUUUGGGUGUACGGACCCACAGAGAUAUAGCCUCGAGUGGCUAGUAUGUGUUAUGAGAGUCGGUCCAGUCAUACUGGAGACUCUGUUGGUAUUGCUGGAUUAGUUUGAGAUUUGCGGAUCGCGUAUGUUGCAGUGUGAUUGCAUUGGAAGGUCUGGCCCCGGGUUAUUGAUCUUGUUUAGCGGAGGCAGUGAUUUUGAUGAGUGGAGAGAGUGCAUGGGAUUGAGAGCCCCUGCAAUGAGAACCAGAGUAUGUGAAUAGCAGUUACGCAAAAAGGGUGGUGUCGCUUGGGGCGAGCACCGUGGCACCGGUUGGAGUGGCAUUAUGUUCAAGAGAGUUCCGUGGAAAAGGAAAAGAGGAGGGUAUGUAACUCCGAAGGGGGUGCAAGUUCACGAAAGUGAAAGCUGCAGAGCAGAGUUAUGGUUAGAGUAUUUCGAGUAUGGUUUUGAGCAUCGUGUUCGCGGCAGUGGAGUAGGAACCCAUCCGGUUGGGAUGUCUGUUGAGGCUCAGAAGGGAUGCAUGGAGAGAGAAAAUUUUAAAUUCUCAGUGUGAAUCUGAUCAGAGUGUAGGGUGGAUGUAGUGGUUCAUCUUGGGAGAUGUUCGAGGAUAUCAUCAGUGUAUCGGGUCUUUCAACCUACGAGUGUUGGGGCUAGUUCAGCAUGUGUAUAUGAUGGCAAGAGGAGAAUUUGUGAGAGUUACUCUGGGAGUGAGAAUGGAUCUCUCAGUUGGUCUGGGAUGGACAAAGUGGGCUUUGGAUCGGGGAUCCGGUGGUUCAGGGCUUCCUAACCCUUAUUGGUCGAGUGAUUGUUGGGGUUUAAGAGCAGAGUUGCAUCUUGGGUGGUUCUCGGUUACAGAGAGAGAUGGACAGUACAGAGUUUGGGCUUCAGUCGACAGAGCAGACUCAGCAGGUUAAGGAGAGUUAGUGAUCGUUUAGAGUUAACAGGAAAGUUAUGCAGGCAGACGCCGUUACGAGUAUGUGAUUCAGGUCAGCGACUUCGUAUUUCUGACGGGUGCUUCGAUUUAGGAAGAAGGGUAAAUGGGGGGCCCCGGUAUGUUGGGUCUUUUCGUGAAGGUGCGAAGGUAGGAAGGGUGGCCUAUCGUUUGGAGCUGUCAACGGAAUUGGGACGGAUCCAUGACACUGGUAUGUGUCGCAGUUGAAGAGGUGUAUAGCGGAUGAGUCAGCAGUGGUUCUACUAGAGAACGAUUAGGUGGAUGCGAGCCUGUGUUACGUCGAGAGGCCAGUGGCCGUCGGAGAUCGGAAGAUCAAGGUUCUGAGGAACAAGGAGGUACCUCUGGUAUUGGUUCAGUAGCGACCUCGGAAGAUAUCGGAAGUGUUUAGGGAAGCCGAAACGUGUGAUGCGGGAGCAGCAUCCAGAACUAUUUUCAGAGUGAGACUUCGAGGGCGAAGUCUAAUUCUAGUGGGGGAGAAUUGUAACAGCCCAAAAUCUCAAGUAUUGUUAAAUUGCAUUUUGGGGUGUUUUAAAGGGGAGACUCGGCGAGUUGGAGCCAGACUCGCCGAGUAGGGUCGCAGAUUUGGUCGCGGGUUCGCGACUGGACUCGACGAGUCCAGGUAUGGACUCGGCGAGUCGACGCUGUUCAGCAGAAACCCUAGCCGUUUCGUAUUGGGUCGUAUUUAAGGGUUGUAUGUCGUCAUUUCACGUCUUUUGGCCGAUUGUGGAGAACCCUAGACGACUGUGGCAUUUGGAGCAAAACUUGAAGGCCAUUAUUGACUUUGAAGGAAUUGUGGUGCAAGAAGAGGAAGGAUUUUGGCCAAAGGAAGAGCAAGGGGGUCGAGUUCUGAGGUUUGGGGACACAGAGAGUAUGUUUUCAGGUAAGGUUUCGGAUCAUUCCUGUUAUUUUGAUGUGUACACGAAUUUAGGGUUUAUGAAACCCAUUUGGAGAUUUGAUGGAUUAUUAUGUUGUUAUACAAAGGUUUCUACCCUAGUAAUAGGAUGAUUAGAGGUCCAGAAGUCCCAUGAGUGUGUAUCUCGGGAAAAACGUAUCUCAGGAAGCAGUUGGAUCGACUGCAUGGCGUGGACUCGCCGAGUCGGAUGAUCAGACUCGGCGAGUAGCUUGAAGAUUCACUGGGACUCGCCGAGUUGUUCUUCAGACUCGGCGAGUGGAGUCGGGGUGGCCCCGCGAUUCUUCCAGGAGUGACUCGUCGAGUCAAAGAGGAUACUCGACGAGUAGAAGGGGAAUCUCAGAGGAUUGAAGGACGACCAGACUCGCCGAGUCGCCAGGGAACUCGCCGAGUCCAGUCGAGCUGACAAUGGACUGUUGACCAGAGUUGACUGGUGUGAUUUCUUAGGGUCAGUUAACGUGGAAGAUAGAAGUAUUAAAUAAGGGAUAUAUGAUGUUACAGGGAGCUUGUAGCUCGGAGGAUCAAGUGCAAGGGAUUUUAGGAGUUGCUAUCUUCUAGUGUCCGCGAGGUGAGUCUUCUCACUAUACCUCACCCGGAAGGGUUUGAUUGUGUGACCGGAAGGUCAAGUAUGUUAUGUGUUAUGUUUAUAUGCUAUAAAUGGAAAGUUAGCUGCUACGCGUGAUAUACAUGCUUAUAUAUGGGCCGGAAGGCAAGGUAUUAUGUGACAGAAAGGUCAGGUAUGAUAUAUGAUAUAUGUGCUUUAUGUGUUAGAGUAUUUGUAUUAUGUGUUAUAUAUGUGUAUGGGCCGGAAGGCAAUUAUCUUAUGGGCCGGAAGGCGAUAUAUAUUGUGGACCGAAAGGUCCGGGCCGGAAGGCAAUGUUAUGUGGACCGAAUGGUCCGGGCCGGAAGGCGUAUGUGCGUAAGGUAUAUUGGGGAACUCACUAAGCUUCGUGCUUACGUUGUUUAUGUUAUGUUGCUUCAGGUUCUUUCAGUAACGCGGGAUGGCAACGGUUCGAUUGUACACACCGAAGAAAGAGUUGUGUUUUGGAGGAUCCUGGUCUUCUGUUAUAAUGAAAAUGAAACUAUGUUUUGUAAUUCGAAUGUGAAUAAGAUUUUAAACAAGUGUUUUUAAUAUUAAAUUGAUUAUUUAAAUGAAAAUUUUGUUUUUGGAAAUCUUGGUGUUAC